CUUCGAAAAUUCAAUUGAUGUUUUCCAGUAAAUGAACACAAAAAUGUAUGAACAGUGGGAAUAAAAUUUCAGGCUGGCUUCGCCAUGCAGUGAAUUUUUAAUGUUAAUUUUACGCACACAUUCCUUAUGUACUUACCUCGAGAUGAUAUACGACAUCUUUUCUUUUAUUUACGUUCAUAGUUUUAUAGUACAAGGAAUGAAUGAACAGCAAAAGUGGAGCUAAGAACUUAUCUAUCGUGCAGGAAAACGUUUGUGAAAACAUAACAAGUUGAAAAGUUUUAUGAUUAAAUAAAAAAAAUAUCAAUGUCAUUCUCUAUUGUAACAAUAAUAUAAUGAUGAAAGUAAUACUCUAAUGUAAUUAAUACAAUAAAGUAACGAACCUGGACCAGUGUCCGCCAACAGUAA